UCGAUGCAAAGAACACCAGAUUUUUAGAUCUAAAAGAACACCGAUCAAUUUAAAAAACUAACAACCCUAAGGCUGAACACCAGAUGGUGGCGCGCCGGUGGAAGGGAAGCCAUGUCGCUCGAGGGUGGAGGGAGGUUGUACCACGCCAGGGUGGAGGGAGGUGGUGCUAAGCUGGGGUGGAGAAAGGCUAGGGUUUCUGGCAAGCAG
rnacentral:lncRNA from 1 species